AGUGAACGCUGGCGGUAGGCCUAACACAUGCAAGUCGAACGGCAGCACAGUAAGAGCUUGCUCUUACGGGUGGCGAGUGGCGGACGGGUGAGGAAUACAUCGGAAUCUACUUUUUCGUGGGGGAUAACGUAGGGAAACUUACGCUAAUACCGCAUACGACCUACGGGUGAAAGCAGGGGAUCUUCUGACCUUGCGCGAUUGAAUGCGCCGAUGUCGGAUUAGCUGGUUGGCGGGGUAAAGGCCCACCAAGGCGACGAUCCGUAGCUGGUCUGAGAGGAUGGUCAGCCACACUGGAACUGAGACACGGUCCAGACGCCUACGGGAGGCAGCAGUGGGGAAUAUUGGACAAUGGGCGCAAGCCUGAUCCAGCCAUACCGCGUGGGUGAAGAAGGCCUUCGGGUUGUAAAGCCCUUUUGUUGGGAAAGAAAAGCAGCAGGUUAAUACCCCGCUGUUCUGACGGUACCCAAAGAAUAAGCACCGGCUAACUUCGUG
rnacentral:rRNA from 1 species